rnacentral:rRNA from 1 species
UGAGGAAUAUUGGUCAAUGGGCGGAAGCCUGAACCAGCCAAGUCGCGUGAGGGAAGACGGUCCUAUGGAUUGUAAACCUCUUUUGCAGGGGAGCAAGGCGCGGUACGUGUACCGUGAAGGAGAGUACCCUGAGAAAAAGCAUCGGCUAACUCCGUGCCAGCAGCCGCGGUAAUACGGAGGAUGCGAGCGUUAUCCGGAUUUAUUGGGUUUAAAGGGUGCGCAGGCGGACUGUUAAGUCAGCGGUAAAAUGUCGGUGCUCAACACCGGCCGGCCGUUGAAACUGGCAGCCUUGAGUGAGCGAGAAGUAUGCGGAAUGCGUGGUGUAGCGGUGAAAUGCAUAGAUAUCACGCAGAACUCCGAUUGCGAAGGCAGCAUACCGGCGCUCAACUGACGCUCAGGCACGAAAGCGUGGGUAUCGAACAGGAUUAGAUACC